rnacentral:rRNA from 1 species
UCCAGACUCCUACGGGAGGCAGCAGUGAGGAAUAUUGGUCAAUGGGCUUACGCCUGAACCAGCCAAGUCGCGUGAGGGAAGACUGCCCUAUGGGUCGUAAACCUCUUUUGUCAGGGAGCAACGCCGGCUACGUGUAGCCGGACUGAGAGUACCUGAAGAAAAAGCAUCGGCUAACUCCGUGCCAGCAGCCGCGGUAAUACGGAGGAUGCGAGCGUUAUCCGGAUUUAUUGGGUUUAAAGGGAGCGUAGAUGGGUUGUUAAGUCAGUUGUGAAAGUUUGCGGCUCAACCGUAAAAUUGCAAUUGAUACUGGCAGUCUUGAGUACAGUUGUGGUAGGCGGAAUUCGUGGUGUAGCGGUGAAAUGCUUAGAUAUCACGAAGAACCCCGAUUGCGAAGGCAGCUUACUAAACUGUGACUGACAUUGAUGCUCGAAAGUGUGGGUAUCAAACAGGAUUAGAUACCCGAGUA